GGCAAGUACUUUACCACUGAGCAACCCCCCACUCCCAGCUCUCUCAUUUAUUUUUAAACAAUACUUAAUGAACAGGAAUUACAGGUAUCUCUGUGCAUUUUUGGUUUCUCUUUGCUCUUCCUAACUUCAGUAUUGUCAAAUUUAUUCUCUCUCUCUCUUCCUCUCAAUGCUUGUUUUUCUUACCACAUGAUGACCUGUGAAGUAUUCAGGCUUGCUGUUGGUACAGAAGCACUUACUGAUCUGGUUUAUCUGAGGUUAUGUUGCUAUAUAUCAUGGCUGUGCAAUGACAAAAAUAUAUAUUAAUGCAGAAUGUCUGCUAACUUAUAGUUAGGCCAAAGUUCACAAACAACGUGAAAUAACUAAUCAUUAAUGUGUUUAUACUUGAUAGUUGAUCAAAUUUAGGGCAUUGAGGAGAGAGGUAAGUCACUUGGAAAAUUUUGUGCAUGAGAUUGCUUACAGAAGAUAAGCAAAACUGCCAGUAAAAGCAUAGGGAAUGUAAAUAUUGGUAACUGUUGCAUAACAUUUAGUAAAAUUCAGCUUAUUUCUGGAAGAAUAAAAAUCAACUAGUUGGUCUAAUUUUGCGCAUCACCAGAAUUUCUGAUUCUUUUCAGCCAGCUUAAAUCCUUUGCUGUCACAUAAGCCACAUUUUCGGAGAUCUUUGGAAUCAGGAUACUCUUCAUGUGGUACUUGGUGUAAAAGAUAAAUUUCCUAUAAUUUUUCUUCAAGUUUAAGAGGUUUGUCUUAAUCAUCUAAGAAUUCAUUUUAGCAUGUAGAAAGAGGAAGGGAUCUAGUUUCAUUUUUCCCCUUAGGUGUGUAAUUGUUUUGCUGUAUUCUGUUUGUUUUUGUUUUGAUAUUGGGAAUUGAAUCCAGGGAUGCUUUAGCCCUGAGCUACAUCCCAGCCCUUCUUUGAGACAGUAUCUCACUAAAUAGCUGAGGACCUUGCUAAAUUAAUGUAGUCCAGAAGACGCCUACCACAAUCAUAACAAGUUUCUCUCCUUGUAAGCAAGAUUGUUAAACCAAAAACAAAACAAAGAAUAUCAACAGGAUUUUUGCAGAGAACUCAUUGUGGAUUGAAGCUUCCUCUUUUUUGUAAAAGCUUUCCCUUUCUAUUUUCCUUGGUAGAAAUUUGUGAAACCUCUGUCCAAUGUAAGAAUAUGGAACAAAGAGUCGCUGUUAUGUAACCAACCCCUAAGUAUAAAUGUCAAAGAAUUUCCAUACUCUGGGUCCAUAGAUUUUUUUGGCAGCAGCCCCAUUGGAACACUGCAGCAUAAUUAAGCCUGCUUCUUGAAAGUUCCUUGGGUAUCCAGCUGCUGGGUUUCUGUUCUCUCUCCAGGUAAACUGGGAUGACUAGGCUGCACGAAAUAACCACACAAGAGACACAGAUACCUUUUUCUUUGGGGUCACUAUGACGGCUCCUCUGACCUUAAGGGUCCACAGAAAGAGAGAGCAAGAGCACACACUGACCCCUUUUAUUGAGGAGAAGCUAUUUAAAUGAGGCAAGGGGUCAGAUUUCAGGGGGCUGAGUCUAUCUUCAUGAUGUCCACUGUCAGCAGUUGACUGACACCUGGGUAGGCCACACCCAAGGGCAGAGUAAGAGAAGGGGACACACACAAGGCACUUCCAUGGAAGAUUCUAUCCUAAACAGGGCAAGGGGUUAUAUUACAGACGAACAGGUGAGCCUAGCUUCACCCAUGGGGCUGUAGCAAGACACACCCAUGCACCCUCGAACCCAAGAAGGGUGGGGAAAGCUCUACCACAUUUCUGUGACUGAGCGCCUAAGCACCCAGCCGGGGAGUAUGACUCAGUCACAUGUAAGGUUGGUCUCCCACAUCCAGCCCUAUCUGUCCUGCAUCAGAAUGACUGAGGCUGGCUGCAAAUUUGUGGUCCUCCCACUUUAGCCUUCUGAGUUGCUGGGAUUACAGAUGUGUGCCACUGAUUCAGCUUCACCAUUCAUUUAAAAUUUUAAAAACAUAAAGUAAUAUUAAUUAAUUUUGUUUUAUCUGCUGAAUAUUAAUAUUACCCAUCCUUUUACCUUUUAACGUUUUUAUCAGUUUGCUUUUUUAGCUGUCUUUUGUAAACAAUACGAAUACUUUAACCUCAUGUUUUUUAGUAGAAUUUAACCCAUUUACAUUUAUUAGAAAUGACAAAAUCUUCAUCUCUGAUUUUUAUGCCUUCUGAGU
rnacentral:lncRNA from 1 species